rnacentral:rRNA from 1 species
UUUAAAGUCUAAUCUGCCCAAUGAGGAUUUUAAUGGCCGCGGUAUAUUGACCGUGCAAAGGUAGCAUAAUAAUUUGUUUUUUAAUUGGAAGCUUGAAUGAAUGGUUGGACGAGAAAUUUACUGUCUCUGGUUAAUUUUAUUAGAAUUUUAUUUUUAAGUAAAAAAGCUUAAAUUUUUUUAAAAGACGAGAAGACCCUAUAGAGUUUUAUAUUUUAUUUUAUUAAUUUUUUUUGGUAUUAUUUAUUUUUUAUGAUUUUAUUUAUUUUGUUGGGGUGACGGGAAAAUUUAAUUAACUUUUUUUUUUGUUUUCAUUUGUUUAUGAUUUUUUGAUCCGUUAUUUGCGAUUAUAAGAUUAAAUUACCUUAGGGAUAACAGCGUAAUUUUUUUUUAGAGUUCUUAUUGAAAGGAAAGUUUGCGACCUCGAUGUUGGAUUAAAAUUAAUUUUAGGUGUAGAAGCUUAGAUAUUAGGUCUGUUCGACCUUUGAAAUUUUACA